UUGCAAUUGUAUAUUUGUAUAUAUUUUUUGCUUCAGCAAAGGCAGCGUGACAUUGAGUUUAGGAAAUCUAAUAAUGAACAGAGAUAGAGGAAAUUGAUGGUUCAAGUUCAAGCUUCAGUCAACUGUUUGGAAUUGAAGUUUAACAAGGAUCUACCUUCCGCAUUGCGCAAUAAAAGUUAUGUUUGGUAACCAACCCUUUACUUUAUUAAUUAGUAAUCAAAUGUGAAUAUUUCUACUAGCAACUAAGUCAUAACAUUGUUACUUAAUUGAACCUUCUUGAUGUCUUUUACAGGGAGCUAUCACUAAACAAAUGACUGCAAUAGAAGAAAUAGUUGCAAGUGAGUACAAUUAGCCAGACCCUCAUCUUUGUGACAAGAUCUUGAAGUUGGUCAUUUGUGAAGCGUUCUAGUUUACUAUUAGUUGCAGUUUUAGUUAUUGCUCUCUCAAUAUAUUCUUUUUCUUUCUUUCUUUCUUUUUUUCCCAAAGGAUGAUCAGUGUAAUAAUUAAACUUCAUAAUUUCUUUGUGUUUGGAGCAAGUUGUAUAUAAAUGUACACAUUAUUAAGAUUUUA